UCUUCUCCGUGUCUGCAGCCACUUAGCCUGCCAGCCAACCAGCUAGCUAGUUAGUCACUUGGUCUAACUCUCAGUGUUCUUUAGUCUGCGGCUUCUAUGCGCUCAUAACGCGUCGUUUUCUACAAAAUUAAAAAAAAAUUAAUAUAUAUACUUACAAAUCUAUGAAUAUUUGUGUUUUCUCACAAUUUGUUUUUCUGAAAAUAUUUUAUACGUAAUGUGGUGCAGUUUUGCAAAAUCAUAAAGUCCACUUCGACCUCUGUCAUUUGUUUAUAACUCAAUCUAAUAAAUGAUUAUCAUGAAAUUAAUCAAAUAAGCUUAAAAGCAGAAAAUUAAAUUGAAUAAAAUUGAUUGUGCUCUUUCGCAAUGCGUCGUGUUGCGUGCAACAAUGACGCACCCUAAGUGUGUGUUGUUCAACGUAAGUGGGAAAGUGCGAGUGCACGCAACGACAAGCGGGAUACAUUCUCAAGCGUUGCGAAGCCCUUUGUCGUAGUAUUUAUAAUUUAAAAAAAGAAAACAACAAAAAAAAAUAUUUAAAAAAUAGUAAUAAAGUAAAAAUAAAAAAUAAAUUUGAAAAAAAAAAUGUUAGUCAACCUUUUGUGCAACUACGUAUAGAGAAAAUAAUUUUCUUUGAAAAUUUAUUGCAGUCCAUGAGCGGAUAGCCAGUCUGUCAGCCCAUCGUUGGCGCGCUUGCACAAUUUUCAGCGACAUUGGAAUUUUGUAAAGAAUGAAUUAACGAAAAAAAAAACCAAAACGUACGAAAUUUCAGCGUAGAGCUGAAGAAAAUAUUUAAUUGUUUGUUUUUGUAAGCAAUCAAAGUGUGCGGAUCAAAAGUAGGCGUAAAAAAUGGCCAAACAGCAAAGGGAAGGUAAAAGGAAAGCGCGUCGUGUCCAUUGACUGCAAUUGUUGGCAGUCGUCCGCAUAAAUACCGAGUAACCCGAGUAAGUGAAAUUUUCAAGUGAAGGUGGUGGUACUUGUACAACAACAAACACAAUCAAGUGUGCAGUUCCCGUUUCCGAGCUUGCAAGCGCAUGGGCAUUCGUAAUACGAAUAACGCAUACACACAUACACAAAUUUAAAUACAUACACACAUCCACGGAUUGGAAAUCGCGCGAUGUUCAAGACUUUACUUUACGCAAUUUUUGUGCGCAAGAAAAUUACUUCCGCUGCUGAGAGUAAUAGUAACAGUAAUAGCAAUUGCAACAACAAAAACAAAAGCAAAAACGACGCCAACUCCAACGUCAAUUUUGAAAUUCUCAUAGGCGUUGUCUUCUCAAUUUUAAACGCCAACGUGCCCAAUACUCUUGCACUCUCCACAGACACUUAAGUUGCAAUUCGAGAAGUUAGAAGUUCAGCAACACCCUUAGGAAGUUGCAUACGUAUCGAAUUCGUUGCGGCACGUUUGAGUUACAAAAAAAUCAACUUGAUGUAUCAGUUGUAUCAAUUGUAUCAACGCACACAUAAAGAUUUAACGAAAGUUCAUACAAAAUGGCGAGUAAUAACACCACCCGAUCGACGGCAAGAGAAGCGAUACGAUAAGUGAUAAACCAUGCUAAGUGAUCCCCAUCAAGUGAUUAAAAUAUAUAAAUGUAUGUAAAAAAAGAAAAAAAUAUUUCACAAAAUUCAGCAAACAAAGCAAAAAUAGUAGAGUAAAUACAAAAUGCUAGAAGUAGUACGAAAAAAGUAGUUUAGAUAUAAAAAAAGAAGUCCUGCAACAAAUAUUAGUGCUAAAAAGUGGAAAAAAGGAAAAUCAGUUGUGUUGAAGAAAAAUAAAUAAAAAUAAAACAGUGAAUACCACUCUCUUACUAACAAUUGCUUCCGCUUCCUUAAGGAAAUAAGAAAUAGUAUUCGUCUCACAUAUUGAAAUCAUCAUCAGGCAGCGCAGUAAAAGCAGCGAAUGCCCCAGCAAAUUGAAUUCAAAUUGUUUCGCAAUAUCCAAGCGCACAUUUUCCACAUGCAUCAUCCACUCCCACGAGGUUUGGCUUCUCUUUUGCAAGAAGCAGUGCAAUACACUCGCAACUUGGAAGUGCCUAAGAUGUGUUCCCGCAACAUUAAGAUCUCGGUGGUGCUGUUUCUUGUCUUGAUUCCACUUAUCACAGCCUUGCCACACAACAAUCACAAUUUGUCAAAGCGAAGCAAUUUCUUCGACUUAGAGUGCAAAGGAAUUUUCAACAAAACCAUGUUCUUCCGCUUGGAUCGCAUUUGCGAAGACUGUUAUCAACUCUUCCGCGAGACGAGUAUACACCGACUAUGCAAGAAAAACUGCUUCGAUUCGAAAUGGUUUGGAGAAUGCUUAAAAGUGCUAUUAAUACCAUCGGAAGAGAUUUCGAAAUUACAGCACUUUAUCAAAGUUAUUAAUGGUUCUCCAAUAUCAUUCCCACAGUCGGUCCCAACAUAACUUUAGUUUACAUAGAUGCAAAACUCUCCAAUUUCCAAUUAAUUUGUACUUAUUUAUUAUUCUAUUUUACGAUUUGUUUUAAUUUUUGUUUUCUCUUUUGCGUUUUUAAUUAUAUUUAAUUAUUUUUUAUGCUUAAUAUAUGCUUAAUUUAUUUUAAAGUAACAAUCAAAAUCUUAAAAGUUAAUUAAAAUAAACAAAAGCAUGCACACACAUGCAAUUAAAAAAAAAAAGAAUGAAAUUCAAAAUAUUUAUAAUCUUAUUUAUUUUAUAAGUAAUUGUACUUUAUACAAAAAGAGAAUUAAGGAAAAUUUUAAUAAGAAAUUGUAAACUAUCAACUCAAGUUUUGAGCGUGCAGAAGUCGAGCAUUAAUUGCUAAGGUUAAAAGCGAAAUAGCGAUAGCAAAAUAUUUACAUUAAUUAAUACAUAUAUAUAUGUGGACGUGUACUAAUGAGAUAGAACGAGAUCGAUAGCUAUACGAUUGGUGAGCUUGUGUGCAAGAGAUUAAAAGUAAAUAGCGAAAGUGAAGCGCAAUGCGACAGUUAGAAAUCGCGUCAAUUGCAAAACGUAAAGCAACACAUUUCUACAUACAUACAAACUUACACCAAUAAAAAGUGGCAAACAUACCGUUAUAGCACAAUAAUGCAAAUUAUGAUGCAAAUUUGGGAAACAUAAGGGAACACAUAUUUUGCUUUAUCCUAUUCCAAACAUAUUCAACAUCACUUAAGCAGGAACAAUCAUAAAACACGUCUCGUGAAAAUUUACAUUUAAAUAAAAGUAUUGAUUUUUGUAUUUAUGAUAUUUUUCCAUUUUUAUAGGCAAAAAAUCCCCAAGAACAACUUUGUGCUUUUUUUAAUUCAGUUUCACUCAUACACGCAAAAAAUUAGAAACUAUAUUGCAGUAAAUGCUAAGUAUUUUUCCAUUAACAAUUUAAAUAAAAAAAAAAUUAAUAACUAAAUUUUUUAGCAAAUGAGAAUAUUUCUUUAUAAAUUGCAAUUUGUGAAAAACACACUAAAAUCCAUUUACAAUAAAAAAACACACCCACAUUUUUACAAAAAUAUACACACUUUAAAUACUGUAAUUAGACCAACACACUCAUCCAUGCAUACAUAUACAUACAUAUAAUAUAAUGCGUAGGUACAUAUGUAUGUAUGUAUGCACAUUUUAAAUGUUAUAAGACAGUUGGAGCACUUUUAAGAGUUUCUAAACUUUUUUUUAUAAAAAUAUAUGCUAGGAUUAUAUACAAAAACUAUGUACUAAAUAUUUAAAAACAAAAAAAAUGUGAAAAAAAUUCGAAAUAUUUUAAAAUCAAAAAAAGAUGGCAUCAAGUUAUGGUAAAGAAACGCAUACACACAUAUGCACAUAUACAUACACUGUUGAGUACAUGUGUGAAUGCCGAAGAAAUUUGUUAGCAAAUAUUUACUGAAAUUAUUGUGAUAAAGUAGUAGAACGACAAGCAAGAAUAAAUAUGUAGUAGGAAGUAUGAUGUAAAAAAGAUAAUAAACAACAACAACACACCGCUAAGCAAGCAAUUGAAAAAACCAAGCAUCUGACAGCCGACAUUUGCAUCAUUGAAGACGAUAGGAAAGCGGAAGCAGCUGUCACAAAUUGAUAGAGCCAACAGUACUGCGAUAAAUUCUAUAUAUGUACAUACAUGACUAUUCGCAGAAGAUGCAUUACAACAGCAAAGGAAUGGCAUUAACUGAAUGUAAAGCAUAGCAGAUCAACAUGUCUAUGUACAUUGUUAACAGCGCGCUGCAGGCCUUUGAACUGUUAAGACCUGUGUAAUACACACAAACCACAACUACAUGUACCAGUGCAAUAACAACAAUGUUGAACUUUUGAUUUUUCGGCAAGAGUGCUUCGGUUCGGCCUUCUUCAGCGCUUGCGUCGAAGCUCUUCAACUGCACGAAGAGAUGGACAAAUACAAUGAAUGGCGCG